GCGCAUGUUCAAGAUGGUCGGGAUAACAAGGUUCACAAUCUGAAUUAAACGAUGAAACCAAGCGGCCAAACGAUUGAAGACCGAUAUUCUGACGUUUUUUGACAGCGCAAUGACCUGAGCCCUAGGACCAUGCCUCAGGACUACCUGACAUGAUGACUC